rnacentral:rRNA from 1 species
AUUGAACGCUGGCGGCAUGCCUUACACAUGCAAGUCGAACGGUAGAGUAGCAAUACUUGAGAGUGGCGAACGGGUGAGUAAUAUAUCGGAACGUGCCCAGUCGUGGGGGAUAACGUAGAGAAAUUUACGCUAAUACCGCAUACGAUCUAAGGAUGAAAGCGGGGGAUUCGCAAGAACCUCGCGCGAUUGGAGCGGCUGAUAUCAGAUUAGGUUGUUGGUGAGGUAAAAGCUCACCAAGCCGACGAUCUGUAGCUGGUUUGAGAGAACGACCAGCCACACUGGGACUGAGACACGGCCCAGACUCCUACGGGAGGCAGCAGUGGGGAAUUUUGGACAAUGGGCGAAAGCCUGAUCCAGCAAUGCCGCGUGCAGGAAGAAGG